rnacentral:lncRNA from 1 species
CGGCGGUGAGAGCGCCGAAUCCUAACCACUAGACCACCAGGGAAAGCUACUUGAAUCAAAACAGUUUGACUUUUGUAUUGAUUACUCAGCGCUGAGUUAAAACUGUAAGUUUAACAUGUCGCUCUUUCUUUGAAAGAAAACAAUAACCACAGAUAAACGUUAUCAGUAUCUUUGCAAUGACACAUCCCAAAACGGUGUGUACGGCCUCCACCUUUCAGCACUGUAGGCUUUCUGUCUGGUAAACAAUCACACUUUAGUGGAAGUUCAGUGAUGCUUGUGGAGACUUUAACGUUAGCUGUAUGGUUUACAGCUAGCCAGCUCUGGCCUUUAGUCCUUCGGAGUUCAAAGUCAAGCUGUUCCACUCUGAUGUUGAUGAAAGACCGACUGGCAUGCAGAAACAGCGGCAGGAGAGGGUUGGGCGGGUGGAACCACCGCUAAAAGUCGCCAAAACAGACAACUCUGAAGGUGGGUUUUCGAUGAUACGUAGGGUUGACAGGAGGAGCCAAGGACAAAGUGUUGCAUCAACAAUCAGGUUAUGAGAAUCUAUCGUCUGAAGCUGAGGCAAUAUCCUUCCAUUCAAGGACUGUACCUGAAAUGAUACAAGAUCACUGAUGAAGUGUUCAUUACAAAAGUUCUUAUAAACCAGUGGACCAGAAGAAGAAUUCCUCACUACCGGCAGACUGUCAGAACAUCAUUUAUAACAGUUAUCUGUGGGACUGAUACCAGUGGAAGAGCUGGUCAUGUCUAAUAGUUAUCUAUGGGACUGAUACCAGUGGAAGAGCUGGUCAUGUCUAAUAGUUAUCUAUGGGACUGAUACCAGAGCUG